UUCCUCUAAUCCAGCUCAUGCUCGUCUUCAACAUUUACUCCUUGAGAAGUCCAAGGUUGGUUUCGAUAAACUCGAUGAUGCUCUCCAAGUGUUUGAUAAAAUGCUCCUUAUCAAACCUCUGCUUCCUGUUAUCAACUUUGCUCAACUAUUAGCUGCCCUUGUUAAAAUGAAAGAGUACUCCGUAGCUGUCUCCCUUUUUAGAAAGAUGCGUGUAGAAAGCAUCCCUGUUGAGAUAUUUACCAUUACAACUAUCAUCAACUGUUUUUGUCACUUGAAUCGUGUCGAUUUUGCCUUUUCAUUACUGGCUGGAAUCAUCAAGCACGGUUUUGUCCCUGAUGUGAUUACUUAUAACACUCUCAUCAGGGGCCUUAUUUCCCAAGAUAUGCUUCAAGAGGCUCAGCUUUUUUUCCAGAACCUCAUCAGAUUUCAACUUAUUCAACCCAAUGUUGUUACCUAUACAACUAUCAUUCACGGCAUCUGCAAGAGAGGGAAUCCUUCUGUGGCUGUUAAGUUGUUCAAAAUUAUGGAGAAGAAAGGUUGCAAGCCUAAUACUGUGACUUACAACACACUUAUUGACUGUUUGUGUAAGCAUAGAUUAGUUGAUCAAGCAUUGGGUCUUCUCCACCAAAUGACAAGGAAAGCAAUAUCUCCGGAUGUUAUAACCUACAACUCAUUAAUUCAAGGGUUGUGUGACUUUAAUCGAUGGCAUGAUGUCAAACAAUUGCUCAAGGAGAUGGAUGUUAGGAACAUUUCUCAAAAUGUUUUUACUUACAAUAUAUUGAUUGAUGCGUAUUGCAAAGAAGGAAUGAUUGAAGAUGCAGAGGAUGUGAUAGAGUUGAUGAUUCAAAGAGGCCGUUAUCCUGAUGUAGUCACUUACAGCUCACUCAUGGAUGGAUACUGCUUGCGAGGAGAGGUUGAUAAAGCAUUAGCAGUGUUUGAAAGCAUGAAGAGAAAGGGAAUAUUGCCGGAUACUCUUAGCUAUAAUAUCCUCAUCAACGGUUAUUGUAAAAAGUUUAAAGUGGACAGAGCCAUAGAUCUUUUUCAACAAAUGCCCUCUGAAGGUUUAACCCCAACUAUUGAGACUUACAGCACUAUAUUGCAAGGUUUUUUUCAUGAGGGUAGACAUGUUGAAGCACGUAAAUUUUUUAAGGAAAAGAUGAUUAACCAAGGUGUUGAGUUGGAUAAAGUGACAUGCCGUAUCUUGUUGCAUGGUCUUUGCCAGAAUAGUUAUGUUGUUGAAGCACUAUCCUUUUUUCAAAUACUGGAAUCCAGGGGGUUAGUUCCUGAUAUACAUGUUUACAAUAUUCUGAUUGAUGGACUAAGCAAAAAUGGACAUCUAGAGAAUGCAAGAAGGCUUUUUGACAACCUUCCUUUGAAUGGUUUGCUGCCUGACGUCAAGACAUACACAAUGCUGAUCCAAGCAUAUUGUCAUGAAGGGUUAUUUGAGGAAGCGAAUGAACUAUUCAGGAAAAUGGAAGCAAAUGAUUGCUUGCCUACUGAUGUAACCUACAACAUACUAAUCCGAGGUUGUUUACCCAAUAAGAAGUACUAUGAAGCAGGUGUACUCCUGGAUGAAAUGCGUAGUCACGGCUUUGCAUCAGAUGCAUCUACCGCAUCUGCUUUCCUGGAUUUACUUGAAGUGCAAGAACAGGAUCCCGCUCUCCUUGCUUUGCGCAAGAAGUACUCGCCAUAAGUGUAACGAAAGGAGAGAGUGGUAGAAUUCAUAAUCUUAUCUAUUUUGCCAACAUUUUUCAAAGGGAUUGAUAACAAAAUUUACAUGCAUUAACAAUCAUGAUAACGGCAUGUAGUAUAGACAGGCUCUACUACUACGCUGUCCGAUGUCAUUGUUGUAAAGUUUGCAGCUCUUCUCCUAUCGAGUAGUUUAUUUCUUCCAUGUACUGCAGUUACAAUUUUUUGGGGUUUGGUAUAAUCUUUUUAAAAUUAUAUAUGUUUCAAAUGAAUGUCCUUUUUUAUUUUUGCAUUGACACUUUGUCUGCAGUUUGUUGAUUUGUCCUAAUGUCUUUAGUAUGCAUGAACACUUUAUAUAGGUUAACUGUGGUCAGAAAGACCGGAAUCUUCGAUCCAUAGAAAUGAAGAGCCUGCAUUAUAAAAAAAACGUGGACCAAUGGUUUUGGUGGCUUUGUGAAGCCUUGCCGCUGGUCCUAUAUGAGAUCUAUGUUUACAUACCAUAUUCAUGAAUCCAUCUCUGGAUAUACGCUCUACAUUUCUUAUUAUGUUAAAAGAAUUUGGGAUUAGAUAUGUCAAUUGACUGAAGGUUGGCCAGGAGUCUGUUUCUCCAGCGUUUCAUUUCUUCCCUAUAUCCUCUUACUACUAGAUUCUGACAACAGCCUUAGCUGAGGUUGUCUGAUACUGAUGUCUGCAAGCUUUUCAGUCCAGUGCAGAACCCCUCACCUGGCCUUAUGCCAGUGACCUGUGACCUAUAUAUUGUCUAUUUUCGUUUACUUAGAUUUUUUAUUAUGGCUUUCUUAUCUCAAGUAACUUACUGUUAGAAACAGAUUCGGGUGUGGUUUGUUUCAUCAAUAUUAUAGUUACAUAGGGAAUUCGAACUUUCCUAUAACUAAGUUUCAAGGUAGUAAAUUUUGUGUCUUUCUGGUUCAUUGCUAUACAGGAAAUCAGGAAUUAACCGGAGAUUUGAUUUUGUUUGAACGAGAAUUUAGGAGGAAAUAUACAUGCAAGUUUGUGAUGGAUGCAGGAUACAACAUUGUGUUCAUUUCACGACUUUGCAGCAAUCUAUUGCAUCUGCUUUCCUAGACUUACUUGAAGUGCAACAUCUGGAUCCUGCUCUCCGCAACUGCUUGCCAGAGAGUGGUAUGAUACAUCAUAAUCUAUUUACUUUGCCAACAUGUUUGGAGGGAAUUUGUAGGAAUUCGCAAUUAUAAUAAUGAUUUGCGGUAUCAACAGGCUCAACUAUUAUUAUGUCAGUUGUCAAUGCUGUAAAACUUUCACUUCUCCUGUCGAUUACUUUAUUUUCUUCCAUGUACUGCACUUACAAAUUGUUGGGAUUAAUUUGAUACGGAGUAUAAUUUUUUUAAUUAUAAUGAAGGUCCUUUUUCGGUUUUGCAUCGACUCUGUAGUAUGUCGAUUUGCUAAUGUCUCAUACUUGUGUCUGCAAGCCUCUCAGGCCAUUGCAGGGCUCAGAGCGUCUUAACUAAUCAGCCUAGGUCAACUCUUAACAUAUAAAUCGUUCAAUUAUAGUUAGGGGUCAUUUGGCAAAUCUGAAUUGAAUGAGUAAUAUAGCUGAAUGAUGUUAAUAGAUGAAUCAUUUGAAUUCUGAAUGAAUAAUAUUGUUUGAUAAAUAAUAUUUGAAAUAUCUGAAUAAUAUAUCAGAAUAUGAUAAUUUGUUUUAAUAAAAUAAAUGCAUACAAAUCUGAAUUAAAUAUAUAUCCCUUGAUUUUUAAUAAGAUCAAAACUUAAUUAAACACAUAUAAAAAGAAUAUUACAUGUAUUAUUAUUCAAAAGAAUUAUAAAGUUAAAAUUUAUAUUGAUUGAUAUUAUAUUUUUUUGUAUUGUUUUUGAAAGAUUAUAUUAUUUUCAGUCGAUUACAAACAAAAUUUGUGAUAAGAUUAACAUAAAUAUAAAAUAAUAUAGUAAACAAACAAGAAUGUACAAUUUUUUAUAAGAUGUGCAUGGACAAGCAGUUCUGAAUCGUUCUUUCCCAAUGAUUGGGUAAGCUACAUAUGAAUAAUUCAGAAUGUAAACUAUCAUGGCCAAACAAUCUUAACGUAGAUUAAUCGCUAAGAUGACUUCAUUCAGUUCUGUUUAGCCGAAAACAAAUGAGCCCUUAGUAGUCAAUUGUAUAUCUAAGUCAUUUAAGAAAUUUUUUUGAUGAUAUUUAAAAUACUUAACACCAUUUAAAAAAGUAUUUUAUGAUAAUACUAAGUGAUAUUUGAAUGAAUUGAGUAUAUAUUCUAAUACAAACUUUUAUUUUCAUAUUCUACAUUUUAUAUCAGGACACACAUUAUUUAUUAAAUAUAUCUUCCUUCCUAUCUUUGGGAUUAGUCAUGAUCCUAAUUUUUAUUGAUACAGAGUUUAUUUGUCUGAGUUAAAAAUUGUGACUCAUGACAUAACGUGACUUAAUCUGAUAAGUCAAACAUUUAUUACGUGUGUCGGGAUAGUUUUGACUUAUAAAUGACUUAUGAGCUAUUAAAAAUAUAAUAAUAAUAAAAAUAAUUUAUGGGUAAAUUAUGACUUAUGGGUAAGUUUUAUCAAAAAUAUUUUGAAAAAUUUACUAAUAACUUUUGUCUUUAAGUCAGUUUUUGGUUUAUUUAUAAGUCGAUUUCUGACUUAUCCCGAGAUGUUGUGUUUCCUUAUCUGCAUUCUACAACAGUACCAUUGUUCCAUGCCCUACAUGCAGUUGUGGCUGCACCGGACAACCUGGAAUCAACUGUGUCAAGUAAUUAUUUUAAAUCUUUCUCUUUAUCUAUUUUAGUUCAAGUAUUAAUCUUUUUUUUUUUUAUGUUGCCAUGUAGUUUAUAGAAUAGACUAGUCGUUAUUGGAGAUGUAUGUGGCACAGUUAGUAAGUAUAAAACUUGUGUCCAGUUGAGAGAUGACUUCGUAGAGAGGCAUAUGUGUGUUGGACUUGGGAGAGAGGUUAUAUUACCCCAGUUAACAUGUUUAGUGAAGAUUAUACUUUGAAUAGAGCAAUAGUGUAUUAUGAUCUUUCUUCUCCAAAAUAUUGUCCCGUCUUUGCUCUAGUUCAACUAAUUUAACGAUGAAGUUUGAACUCUAGUUUUCCUGCUAACUUUUAACUUAAAACUUGAAUAAUAACUUUUCUAGCAUUAUCUUCUUUCAUUUGAAAUCGGCAUUUGCAUUUAUCUUCUUUCAUUUGAAAUCGGCAUUUGCAUUUAUGUACAAUUACUUUUAUUGAUAGGCCUGGCGAAUCACUACCGGUAUUACAGCUUCCGACUGAUGAAGAACCCCGGCCAGUCGUCAAGUGUACAAGGCACAUGUGUCCUGUAACAAUCCAUUGGCAUGUAAAAGAAAGUUAUAAGGAGUACUGGCGAGUUAAGAUGACGAUUAUGAACCAAAACUUUGCUCAGAAUUAUAGUCAUUGGAAUAUGGUGGUGUUACAGCCCAACCUGAGGAGUGUCACACAGGUUUUCAGCUUCGACUAUAUUCCCCUAAAUCAAUAUGGAAGCAUCAGUAAGUUUAUCAUAAAUUUGCAAUUGGGCCGUGCUAAAUUAAUGUGCAUCUCCUUAUGUUAGUACGUUUCUUAAGUGCAUCUACUGCUGUGCAGAUGAUAGUGGUGUAUUUUACGGCGUCAGCUUGUACAACGACAUGUUACUCCAAUCCGGUCCACAGGGUAAUGUGCAGUCGGAAAUGUUACUACACAAAGAUCCAGACAUGUUUACUUUCCGACAGGGGUGGACAUUUCCAAGAAAAGUUUCUUUCAAUGGUGAUGAAUGUGUAAUGCCUCAGCCAGAUGACUACCCAAGCCUUCCAAAUGGUGCACAACCUAGUUCCCCUGCUACACUACUCUUUAUAAUGCUGCUGUCAUUGCUUUUUAGUGUGCUUGCACUUUGAAUCAGAAGUAUUAGAUUUCCUGGCAAACAUUUUUAGCUUUGAUUCAGAAUGUCUGUUGUGAAUUGGUAAAGAGCAUUUAUAGGGAAAAAAAUUCCAAAAUUAGUUGUCAUUUUCUUUUUACAGAACAGUUAUAAUAUAUAUAUAUAUAUAUAUAUAUAUAUAUAUAUAUAUAUAUAUGAUAAAAAAAUUGCACGUGCCUCCCUGUUCUAAAAAAGUCAGCGAUUAAUCACGGAUUAAUUCUUGUUCCGUAACUCGCGGAACAGAUUAAAUCUCCGAUUAAUAGCUGAUCAAUCCGAUUAAUCUCCGAUCAGUUCAUUUAAUCUCUAAUUAAUCCUUGUUUCCUAACUUUACUGAUUGAAUACGAUUCUCAUUUUUUACAACACGCCUGUGGUCAUAAUUUUUUGAAAAUAGAAAAGGGAAAGGAGGGCUUAAAGUUUGAGAGUGAUAAAAGUGAGUAGCAAAAGCAGAGUUACUGAAAGAACUCAAGAAAGGAUUAGUCAUAGUAUAGAAUAGAAAGAUGAUGAAGCAGAAGGGAGCUUCAAUUACUUCCAUGAGAUGGAAGCAGUGGAAGGUUGGUUUCGAUAAACUCGAAGAUGCUCUUCAAGUGUUUGGUAAAUGCUCCUUAUGAAACCUCUGCCUACUGUUAUCGACUUCAAUCAACUGUUAGCCGCCCUCGUUAAAAUGAAACACUACUCCGUAGCUGUCUCCCUAUUCAGGGAUAUGUGUGUUCGAAGCAUCCCCCUUGAUAUAUUUACCUUCAACACUGCCAUUAACUGUUUCUGUUACUUGAAUCGUGUCGAUUUUGCAUCUUCAUUAUUGGCUGGAAUCAUCAAGCACGGUUUUGUCCCUGAUGUGGUUACUUAUACCACACUCAUCAGGGGCCUUAUUUCCCAAGAUAUGCCUCAUGAGGCUCAGCUUUUGUUCCAGAACCUCAUCAGAUUUCAACUUUUUAAACCCAAUGUUGUUACCUAUAACACAAUCAUUCACGGCAUCUGCAAGAGAGGAAAUCCUUCUGUGGCUGUCAAGUUGUUCAAAAUUAUAGAGAAGAAAGGUUGCAGGCCUGAUACGGUAACUUACAACACAAUUAUUGACUGUUUGUGUAAGCAUAGAUUAGUUGAUCAAGCAUUGGGUCUUCUCCACCAAAUGACAAGGUAAGACAUAUCUCCAGAUGUUAUAACCGACAACUCAUUAAUUCAAGGGUUGUUAGACAUUAAUCGAUGGCAUGAUGUUAAACAAUUGCUCAAGGAGAUGGAUGUUAGGAACAUUUCUCGAGAUGUUUUUACUUACAAUAUAUUGGUUGAUGCAUAUGGCAAAGAAGGAAUGAUUGAAGAUGUAGAGGAUGUGAUAGAGUUGAUGAUUCAAAGAGGAGAAUAUCCUGGUUUAGUUACUUACAAUUCACUCAUGGAUGGAUACUGCUUGCGGCGAGAGGUUGAUAAAUCAUUAGCAGUGUUCGAAAGCAUGAAGAGAAAGGGAAUAUUGCCUGAUACUCUUAGCUAUAAUAUCCUCAUCAACGGUUAUUGUAAGAAGUUUAAAGUGGACAGAGCCAUAGAUCUUUUUCAACAAAUGCCCGAUGAUGGUUUAACCCCAACUACUGAGACUUACAAUACUAUACUGCAAGGUUUUUUUCAUGUGGGUAGACAUGUUGAAGCCCGGAAAUUUUUUAAGGAAAAGAUGAUUAACCAAGGUGUUGAAUUGGAUAAAGUCACAUGCUCUAUCUUGUUGCAUGGUCUUUGCCAGAAUAGUUAUGUUGUUGAAGCACUAUCCUUUUUUCAAAUACUGGAAUCGAGGGGGUUAGUUCCUGAUAUACAUGUUUACAAUAUUCUGAUUGAUGGACUAAGCAAAAAUGGACAUCUAGAGAAUGCAAGAAGCCUUUUUGACAACCUUCCUUUGAAAGGUUUGCGGCCUAAUGUCAAGACAUUCACAAUGAUGAUCCAAGCAUAUUCUCAUGAAGGGUUAUUUGAGGAAGCAAAUGACCUCUUCUGGGAAAUGGAAGCAAAUGAUUGCUUGCCGGAUAAUGUGACCUACAAUACACUUAUGCAUGGUUAUUUACACAGUAAGAAGUACUAUGAAGCAGGUGUACUCCUGGAUGAAAUGCGUACUCGCGGCUUUAAAGCAGAUGCAUCUACCGCGUCUGCUUUACUGGAUUUACUUGAAGUGCAAGAACAGGAUCCCGCUCUCCUUGCUUUGCGCAAGAAGUACUUGCCGUAGGUGUAACAAAAGGAGAGUGGUAAGAUACAUAAUCUUAUCUAUUUUGCCAACAUUUUCCAAGGGUUUGAUAACCAAAUUUGCAGGCAUUAACAGUCGUGAUAAUGGCAUGUAGUAUAGAUAGAGGCUGUGCUACUACACUGUCAGAUGUCAUUGUUGUAUACCUUGUUGUUCUUCUCCUAUCGAGUAGUUUAUUUUUUCAACGCACUGCAGUUACAAGUUGUUGGGGUUCAUUAUAUAUAAAUUUUUUAAAAAUUAUUUAUGUUUCACAUGAACGUCCUUUUUUGUUUUUGCAUCGACUCUUUGUCUGUAGUAUGUCGAAUCGUUCUAAUGUCCUUGGUACAUGAGUUGACAAUUGACGUGAACACUUUAUAUAGGUUAAAUGUAGUCAGAUAGACUAGAUCUUCAAUCCAAAGAAAUGAAGAGCCUGUAUUAUGAGGGGGGGGGGGGGGGGGCACCAGUGGUUUUGGUGGCUUUUUGAAACCUUGUCGAUGGGCCUAUAUGAGAUCUAUGUUUAUAUUCCAUCUUCGUGAAUGGAUGUACUCUUAAUAUCAUAUUAUUUUGAAAGAACUUUGGAUUAGAUAUGGCAAUUGUCUGAAUGUUGGCCAGGAGUCUGUAUCUUCCCUUUAACAGCGCAUGUCUUUAAUAUCUAAUUUUCUGGUUCCUAUGUUCCCCAGGUUAACAGAUGCAAUUAUCUUAGACUUGCUUCUUUGCGUUCUGAUUGAUACCCUGUUGUAUAUGUUCUUAGGAAAAAUUAGUUGCUGAAUCACUAUUUCAUCUGGAGCACUGCUACUUACUAAUGGUUUUAGUUCUAUUCCCGGAAAAGAAUAUUUGUUGUUCACAAUCUCCACCGUUUUAUGAUUAAUUCUCCAAGAUCCUUGAGCCUCCAAUUUGUGCAGAAUUAAGUUUCAACGAAGGAUCAUCCUUAUGCCAGUGACCUGUGAACUAUAUAUUGUCUAUCUUAGUUUACUCUACAUGUAUAUAUUUGUUUUUUUUAAAUCUAACUUACAGUUUGAACAAAUUCAGACCUAGUUCGGUUCGUUAAUAUUACACAUACAUAGUGAAUUUGAACUUAGCUAUAACUAAGUUACUGGUUGCAGGUCAAAGUUUCAAGGUAGUAAACUUUGUGUCUUCUGGUUUAUUAUUAUACAUUACUGUAGGGCAAGAAUUUAUGGGUAUAGAGUAUUUUGUACCAUGCUUUUUAAGUGUUUGAUAAAAGUACUGACACAAGUUUUCAUUUUUUUUGGCAGAUUCAAUAUUUUGUUGAGGUUAGUUUACUCACCUUUAUAAUUAUAUAUAAUUGUCGAAUGUUUUGAUAUGACUUUUCUGUGGUUUCAUAUCAAAUCAAGUAUAGCUUAUGUAAUUUUAUAUUGGUGUGAUUUUCUGUUUUAUGAAUUGCAGGUUCAAGACUUUAAUAUUUUUUACAAGACGACUUAAAGACUAUUGAGAUUGAGGUAUACUAUUAUCUAAGGUAUACUAUUCUCCAUUGUCCUUUGUUUAAUCAAUGAAUGAAAUAUUUAUUGUAUUUAUGGCGAAGAUACUAUUAGUUUGUCAUGAUUUGUAGUCCUUAUUUUGAUAGACUAUCUUUAAUGUAGUGGGUUAAUAUUUUUUGUUAAAUGUUGGUUGGACUAUCAAACACGCUUUUUAUGGAAGAGAUAUCUACUUGUUUGGACAGUUCAACAACAUAUGAACUUGUUGAUUCACUGCGCCAUGUGGUUUUAUUCUUCAAGAAACUGCUCUCAUCUUUCUUUUGCAGCCAGCCCCGAAAAUGACUGUGAGGGAAACCUUGGAAUUUUCUGCCAGAUGUCGGGGAGUUGGAUGACUCUAUGGUUAGUUGAUAUUCAUUGUACUGUAUUCUCAGUACUGAUAUAUUUGCUUGGGGACUGAUAUGCUUAAUUAUAUGUUAAUUUGGCCGGGAAGCUACGAAGAACCGGGGAACCAAAGCAACAAUAGAGAACUGUAAUGAAAAGGAUUACUCUACGGCAACAGUAUGUGGUAGAGACCGGCCAAAACUACUAUUUGAUAUUGUGUGUGCCCACACAGCCAUGUAUUGUUUUCACAGCUAUUCAUAUAAUUUAUUAUGCAGAUGAUGAUCUUUCCUGGUUAUUGAAUUUUUAAAACUUAUGGCAAUCAAGUUUUUAACACGGCUUAGUUUAAUAACCUGCUGAUUAGUAUCUGGUUACAUGAAAUUCACAGGAGUAUUACAUUCGGCACAAGAAUGUCUUCCCCCUCCUAAACGUGGAUGAUGGAUGCCAAAAGGCCUGUGGUAACUAAACAUUUGAUUGCAGCAGUUGAAACGAGAGUUUCACAUGUUAGAUGUCCAGCUGUCCGCGCUCAAUAUAUUAGGCACUGUAAAUUUGGGUUUGGAUACAGCAACCAGAGUACCUGUGAUUCUUUGUAAGUUGAUUCUACAUUAUAUAUUCGAUGUAAUUUGAGUUUCACCUGUGAUUCUUUGGCCUGUGUUGUAGUGAAAUUAGCAGAAAGCCAUUUUUUAUGUUUCACUUUCCCUUUCCACCUCUACUUUCUUCCUACAAUUUCUUUCCAUGUUCACGGGCCGGCUACUUGAUGAGAACAUGUUGUUCACACCCUUGGAUGAGCCUUUUCUUCUAUUGUAUUUAGGGUUCCCAAACACUAGAUUGGACGGACUGGCUCUGCAUCUGCAACACUCUGCCCAAACCAAUUGAAUUCAGCGGCAGUCUAUCAAGUAAUGGUCUUUAGUUAUAACCAGGUUCAGCAAUCCACCAAAACACUAACUGAAAGCCGCAUAGAUAAAUUACAUUGUAGAAUGCAUUGUCAAAAGAUGAGCCCUUAUAAAUAUAUAAAAGGUUAUAAACUGCCGAAUCCACCAAGGUUUACAUAGUUGAAGAUAAUCAAACAUCCAUAUGUUUAUUUAGAUUAACUUGGAAAUGAAUGUGUUGGAUACACCAUUCCUUAGAUAAUUGUUAUAGCUUAGUAAUUGAUGGCACUCAGUCGUUCAUGCGUUCACAUAAUUUAUUCUCACAUUUGAUCGAGAUUAGAAUAUAGAGAUUUUUGUGUGGGCCUGAUGUUUUUAUUUGCAUUAUGUAACAGAAAAAGUUUUACAAUGUAUCUGUACAAAAUCCCGAAGAUGAGGAUUUUUGAUUUUCUUGAUUUUUGUAAUUGUAGAUGUUGCCUGAUCUUUGAUCUUAUACAAAAUGCUAAAGUGGAGGCUUGGAAUGAAUGUGUUGCAACCUGCAGACCAUAUAGUCACAGCUUUUAGUGAUAAAUUGACCUCAGGACCUUCGUUAACUUCAGUGAUGGGUUUUACUUAAUUGAUACUCCUAUCUCCAGACUUUAAUUAUAGGUUUUGUAAUUACAAGUUUAAAAUAUUCAGACUUUAAUUGCAGGUCUUUAUACUUACCAAUUUAUAAUACUAUAUGGUUUAGGAUCAAUUUUUGUAAUAUAAUGGUGAAAUGAGGAGGAAGAUGCGUGUGAAGGCUCAAAACAAAAUUCUAAAAAGAAAGAAGGUAUGGCACGGCUGCAUUCAAAUUGUAGUUUUAUUUAUCCUUUUAUGUGUGUUGUCAGCAUUAUAUCUUUAAUUGUCCUGUCUUUAGGUUUACGUUGACAAUUUUUAGUCAUUUAUCUCUAGUGAUUAAAUAUUUAUUUUGAGUUACUUUAUUAAGUGAAGAACUAGCACUGUAGCCCGUGCGAGGCACGGGCUUGUGCUUAUAUGCGUGAUGAUUUUCGUUGUUUCGACAAUGCGGCUGUUGUGGAUGCGUUCUCUGUUGAAACUAAUCCAUUAUGAAAGUUCUCCUGAUAAAUUGUAAUAAAUCUAAAAACUCAUGCAAGGUAAUGAAUGUGUCCAGCGGGAUGGGGAGAAAAGAGCGACAUCAUUUGGGGAGAUAUACUUGAUCCUCUAGGAAUUAAUGGGCAACCUAAGAAUCAUGUGAUGGUUCACAUGUUUAACAAAUUUGACAUCAGAAUCUUGAAAUGGUUUAAAACCUUUUAUAUGAUCGAACUUGAGGAAACCGUAAACUUAGCUGGACUUGGUUUAAAUCUUAUUUGUAUUAGGAGUUUGUUUUAUUGCUUGCUCAUUUAGUUAUAGUUUGGGUUCACAAAUGAAAAUGCAGAGCUAAAAGCUUCGCAUCCAGAAUUAACGAAUCUGGAUCUUCAGGUGUCCGUGAAUUCGGCACCAGCAGAUGGGCUAUUGUUUGCCACUGUUUGUCAAAUAGAUGAAAAUGAUAGGUUAUGCUGUGCUUUCAAGUGAGAAAAAGUGCUUCUGGGGAUAUUUCUCCAAGUUUUUUUUAUACGCCGCAACUUUGAUGCAAAUGAAUAUAACAUCUGGUUGCUGAUUAGUACAGAUUUAAUGUUUGUGAUGACCACUAACACUGGCUAGGUAUAGUGAUUACACUUACACUAUAAGAAGAAGCAUCUUUAGUAAAGAACUAAUUAUACUAAUGGCACAAUUAUAUUAGUGAUUAAAUCCACUUUGACAUAGGCUUUGCUGACUUCUUUUAUAAGAUCUCAUUUUUAAACUAAUAUUUGUUAUGCAGCAACCAUGCUAAAUAAUCAGCACAUCAAAAUGUAUAUACAUAAAUUUGGUGAUUAAUAUCACUUAAGCAUCCAUCAAACCCAUCAAAAGUAGCAUAAGGCUUUUCAUAUCACAAUUUCCUAAACAGUCAUUACCUUGCUCAUUUGAUAGCAAAUGAAACUACACACUGCUACAAGAGGUAGUAAGAAGAAAAGGGUUGUAAAUAGACCAGAAAAGUGAUGACAUCCAGGUUUUCAACUCCCUCGCUAUGUCCCCAUUCAUUUAUAGAUUUUCAAUCUUCUGGUUUGCAGACCAUAGGUAAACUAAACCUGAUAGACAAAUCGGAGACGGGAAAUUAAUUACGUUAUGUAUAUAAAAAUAAAAAAAGGAGAAGACUGAACAUAUAAUUAUUAUGCAUAGAAAGAUUACAGUUGGUUCGCUCAUUCAAUUUUAACUGAAUCUUGGCCAGGCUGAAAGUUAAAGAGUUAAAUGCAUUGUGUGUGCUUGUUGUUCCGAGUUUGCGCACUUUGUGUACCUUAUUUUUCAUAUCUAGCAAUUUUUUUUAAAAAGACAUUAUAAAACUAUAAUUUAUAAAAGUCUGCGUGCCAAAAAUUAGCAUAAAAAAUCUGGUGGGAGGGAGAGUAAUUUUUAGUUAGUUUUUAUCCAUCAAUUGUUUCUCCUCGUUGAGAUUAUAACAAUAGAGAUGACUACUGUUUUUAAUUGUAUCAACUUAUUAAUUAGCAUAUUUUAAAUUUUAAAUUAUUUAUCACUAUUUUUUACAUAUUUUUUAAUAAAUUUAACAUAAAAUAUUAUAGAGUUAAGUUCCAUGUAGUCCACAUUUACUGUAGUAUCGUAGACCACUGUAACACCCCAGUCCCACAUCGAGGAGUGUGGGGAUAUUUGUUCAGUUUAUAAGUAUAAGUACUACUACCAAUUGCACCAACAAAUCAUGAUCUUUUGGGGGCCUGUGGUGGGCUUGUGGAUUCCCCAAGUUGUUGCAGUUGGGCCAGUAUAUUUAGGCUUAUUUUCGGAUUCGGAUUUCGGGACUUGACCUGAUUUUCGGAAAAGACUCGGGAUUUGACCCGGGUUGUUUCAUAUGGUAUCAGAGCCAGGUUCUCGAAAGCUUGAUUCGUCAAGUUGCCGGAGGUGGGGACACGAAGGCUGGUGGUAUUAUCCCGCAAUGGAGAGAGAUCCGGAGGCGGGGACACGAAGCCAGCCGGUAUUAUCCCACAAUGGCUAGAGAGGUUCGAUCUGGGCCUAUGGGCUAUCCGUUUCGGCCUGACGAGGACGUCAGGAAUUUAAGUGGGGGAGUUUGUAACACCCCAGUCCCACAUCGAGGAGUGUGGGGAUAUUUGUUCAGUUUAUAAGUAUAAGUACUACUACCAAUUGCACCAACAAAUCAUGAUCUUUUGGGGGCCUGUGGUGGGCUUGUGGAUUCCCCAAGUUGUUGCAGUUGGGCCAGUAUAUUUAGGCUUAUUUUCGGAUUCGGAUUUCGGGACUUGACCUGAUUUUCGGAAAAGACUCGGGAUUUGACCCGGGUUGUUUCAACCACGUAUGUUUUGCAACUAUAGAAUGACAUAAAAACAUUGCAAAAUGUAUGGAUAUUUGUUCAGUUUAUAAGUAUAAGUACUACUACCAAUUGCACCAACAAAUCAUGAUCUUUUGGGGGCCUGUGGUGGGCUUGUGGAUUCCCCAAGUUGUUGCAGUUGGGCCAGUAUAUUUAGGCUUAUUUUCGGAUUCGGAUUUCGGGACUUGACCUGAUUUUCGGAAAAGACUCGGGAUUUGACCCGGGUUGUUUCAACCACGUAUGUUUUGCAACUAUAGAAUGACAUAAAAACAUUGCAAAAUGUAUGAAACUUGUUAUUUUGUGAAAUACAUUCUAUAAAUAUCACUAUUUCAUGAAAAAUAUUGAAAAUCAUUUAUGUUCGACAAGUAGAACACAGAUGUUCUGUAAUAUGUAAAUAUGUUCUGCAAACUUAACAUGUUUUGCAGAAUAAUGUGUUUUUGACUAUUUAACUUAUAGAAUAUUUAGGAUUGUCAAAAUUUUUAACAAAAUAAUGAUGUUUAUAGAAUAUGAUUUGCAAAAUAACACAUUUUGCAAUGUUUUUACGCCAUUCCAUAGUUGCAGAACAUAUGUGGUCUACGGUACUACAGUAAAUAUGUGGACUACAUGGAACUUUGUUCAAAUAUUAUAUCGAUUGAGUUAUAUACAUAUAUAUAUUAUUGUACAUAUAUAAUUAAACUUAUAAAUAUUAAUUUAAAUAUAUAGAUAAUGAGAGUCAAACUUUAGUUUUUUGUUUAGAAAUGUUCUAAUAAAUAAGAGUUGUCACUAAUUUAAAACAAAUUUAUUAACAAUUAUAAUACUAGUAUGUUUUUCUCGUGCUCUGCAAGUGGGCUUAAUUUUUAUUUUAUUUUUGUGAUAAGCACAAUUUCGAUAAUUAUAAUAUCAUGAAUAUUUAUUAAAAAAUUAUUUAACUAACUAUAUCAAAUAGACUAUGAUACGCAUGAAUGUCCAACCACAAAUAAUAAUAUUUUUAUUUUUUACCUUUGUAUUUAAUAUUAUCCUUUUUAAAAUUUUGACUUUUUCUAAAAAUUAUUCUCAAAUCAUAAUGUUCAUAUGAAUAUAUUUCAGAAUGAUAUAUUUUAUUUUAAUACAAUCAUAAUGUUAAUCGAUGAUCUUUAAAGAGACGAAAAAAAUAUUCGGUACCAAAAAAAUAUAAGUUAGAUUUUAAGGUUUUUGAUGUUUAAUAAAAUUUAUUUUUCUAUUUAUGAUUAUUUGAGGCAUUGUGACUGCAAUACCACCACAUUUUUCGUCUUUAUCACAAUUUUCUGAAAGGUAUAAGUUGAAUUAAAAUUUAUAUUAAUAUGAAUUUAGUUAAUAAUAUAUGUAAAUAUGAAUUUCUCAUUGAUAUGAAUUCUAAAUAUUAUUAAAAAAUUUAUAGAGUUAUUUCAUAAAUUAAAUUAUUCGAAAUUCAAAUAUCAAAAUCAAAAUCAUAAUAUAAUUGUUAUUAUCAUUAUUAAAUAGAAAAAUCAUGUGAUAAUCAAAUUUUGAUAUUUUGAUAUUUAUAUUGUAAUAGUCCACUGAUGUGAUUUUGUUAUUGAUGAAGCAUAGAUAUCAUCACAUCCCGACGAAUUUGUAGCUUUUCGUGUGCAUGUUAAUCUACCUAAAGCUAAUUAGAUCCUUGCCAAACACCCAUAUCUUUCCUCUAGCUUUUUAUGUCUUGGUCUCUAUUAUUUUUUUAUCUUUCUUCAGCUGUGCAUUUGACGGAGUUAGGUGCAAACUAACGGAGGUACACUAUUUGCAAGAAUCUUGUAACUAAAGGUACACAAAGUGCUAGAUAUAAAAAUUAAGGUACACAACAUGCAUAAAGUUGAAACAACAGGUACACAAUAUGCAUUUAACUCAAAGCUAAGGGCAAAGUGCUAAUUUUUCGAAGUUAGCUAAUAAUUAAGCAAAUAGUCUGGCAGAAGUACAAAUGCAAAAGUGGACUAAUACACUUCUGAUCACCACAUGAAGAAUUUUCAGGUCCUGUACAAGUGAAGUCCUUUUAGUAAUUUAUGGUACUUUUCUUGAUCCAUAGAUGACGGAAGAGUAUAUUCUCUUGUAUAGUGCCUGUUUGUUUCCAUGCUGUCCGAGAAACGUAAGCUACCAUUCCAUGCACCUGACCUAUAAAAUUUUGAAUGGGUGAGAAAACAAAUUGCAAAGCUGCAUGUUUAUAAAUUGAGAUUUAUAUGUUAGUCAAACUCUACAGGAAUAUCUUUGAGAAAGCGUCAAUCGAAAUAGCUCAUGGCUUUUAUCAAGAACAAACUAUCUGUGUUUUUUUUUUACGAAGUUUUUUGCCACAAUGAUUUGUUACAUAUGAUAAUGAUAGUGCAUGCAAACAAAAAAAGGCAAUAUUGACAUAGCAGCAAAGGUAAUCCUAAUCUAAUACAUAAACUAAUUAAACUCUAAACUUAUCUAUCCAGGUAAUGGCUAAAAGCAACCGCAGGUUAAUUCAAGCAAGUCCCAACAUGCAUUAUGGGAAACUACAGUUAAAAAACAACCAGAAGCUCAUUUGAAGCAUUAAGAUGUGAUAUAUGCUUUUUCCAUCAAAAAAAAAAAAAAAAAAAAUGUGAUAUAUGCUUUAGUAAAAUUGAAACAAUUGUAUGUGCAGCAGACCUAUUUAAAAUAUCUGCCACAGGAUAAUAGCUAUUACAAGGACUUGAUCCUAGCUGAUCAAGAAAAAGACAAUCAUUUCUAUGAUAACCCAUAUGAAAAACAUGUUGGUGCAAUUUGGAUCGCUCGGGAUAUCUUCGAUUCCGUUUUUAGCUUCAAGAAAACAAUUGAUCUUUUUAGUAUGUUAUUUGUUUUACAAUGUGGUUGUAUCGGCAGUUGGGGGUUGUUCCCAGCUGUAUUAUAUUUAAUUUAAUCAAAUCUUCUUGCAUUUGUAAAAAAAAAAAAAGUCACUCAUAAGUAUUGUUAAAUCAUGGAAAACUAAUAUUUUGGAUUAAAUUUAACUAAAAUUAAGAUAAAAUUUUAAAUUAUACCAACAUCAUAUAAAAAUUAUAUAUUUUUACAGCACUUCUGACUUACAAACAAAUCAUAAUUUCAAAUUUUAUUUAAUUGAAAAUUUAAUUAUUAUUUGUAAAUUAAUUUUUUCACAUAAUUUAAAAUAUAUCUAAAAUGUUUAUAAAUAAAUAAAAAGUUCUCGUGCAGGCUAUAAGCUAGUACUAUUACAGUCAAAACAUUAACAAUUUGGUUUGUCGGUACUUGGGCCAAAUUACGAGUCUAUCUAUAUAACUAAUUAUUCUUUUUAAUUGAAAUAUAUUAUUUUUUUUAUAUUUCUAACUAAAAAAUCUCAAACUUCUAAAAUAACAUUGAAAAUCAUGAUAAUUAUCUUUUUAACUAAAAUAUAUUAUCUUUUUAUAAAUUUUUUAACUAACAAACCGAUUUUUUACAAUUAAUACAGACACAGGCGACAUAUUUAUAAAAAUAUAAUAUUAUUAUAUUGGUCGGGCGGUCGGUACUUGGGCCAAAGAUUGGGCCUAUAAAUAUAACCAAUUAUUUUUUUAACCAAAAUACAUAAUCUUUUAUAUAUUUUUUACCUAAAAAAACUCAAUCUUCUAAAAUAACAUCGAGGAAAAUAGUAAUUACCUUUUAACCGAAACGCAUGAUCUCUUUUAGAUUUUUAACUAAAAAACCGAACUUUUACAAUUAACACGGGCGACAUUAUAUAUAUAAAUACGGUCUUUCUAAUGUGUGUCCAAGGGCACACAAGAAGCACCAACUUUCAUGAAAAUGGCUUGUUUUGAUUGGUGGAAUUGAUGUAAAUGCAGGGGGGUCAUUUACAUUUAUUAUCCAUCCACCAAUCAAAAGCUAGUAUUCUCAUGGAUGUUAGUGACUAUUGUGUGCCCUUGGGCACACCAUAGAAAAUUCGAUAUAAAUAUAACAUCAUUAUACAUAAUUAUUAAUAAAAGAGCAAGGAAAGAAACAUGUGAUUUUAUUCAACAAAUAUACGUUAAUAACAUUAUUUUUAAAUACUCUAAUAAUCUCACGUUAAAAGAAAUUUUAUAAAUCUGUAAUAUACUAUAUAUUAUUACACUAUUAAAGUCGAAAUAUAAAAGCUUCAGUUGAUUGGUUGGUGAGUUGAGUUUGAUGAACCUGUAUUAUCGACUCAUGUAGCUCUUGAAUUUAUAACAUGUUAUAAUAUAUUUUUUAUAUUUAUUUAUUAAAUCAAAACGUUAAAUUUAGGUUAGUACGAAGAGUUCGGUAUUUGGUUUCAUGCCUCCCUUUGACUUAUAAUAUGUUUUAUAAUUUUAGAGUGUUUGACAAGCAGAGAGAUUGUAUAAGAAGGCAACUCACAGCAGCUUAUACGCCGCAACCAUCAUGAAUAUGGUCCGUUGUGUUCUGAAAGAAAAAGAGUGCCGAAACCUUACUGGGCUGAAGCUGCUAAUUGGGUGGCACAUGUUCUCAAUAUCAGCGAUAAAAGAAAAGACACCAGAAGAUGAUACAUUGUGGAACAGAAGAGCAGCUUGCGGACAUCAUGACAAAGCCACUUAAACUGGGAGUUUGUGAUGAGUUAAACUGGGAGUUUGUAAAUACAAUCAGUUUAGGAGAGGCAUUGUUGGGUUAGACUUGGUCGCGUUUUGUUAGCAAGUAGUUAAAUAAACUCCUAUCUUUCAGGAGAUAGUUAGUACUGUAUUGGGUUAGAUUUUCACUUUCUGUAGUUAUCUUUGUAAGGCUAUUUAUAAUCCAGAGCUUGAAUAUUUCUCUGCAUACUAUAGUUUCAGUUUUAACAGAGAUAUGAUGGUGAUGAUGAUGAAAUUUUUGAUAUCAAAUUCUCGAUUCCUACCACAUUCUGCUGCUUCACUUCAUACAUCCUUUUGUUUUUCUGCAGUUUCUCACUUCUCCACUAAACCAAACCCUAAUAUUUCCCUUAAAUCCAAACCCCAAUUCCCUUAUUCUUCUAAUCCAGCUCAUGCUCGUCUUCAACAUUUACUCCUUGACAAGUCCAAGGUUGGUUUCGAUAAACUCGAUGAUGCUCUUCGAGUGUUUAAUAAAAUGCUCCUUAUGAAACCUCUGCUUCCUGUUAUCAACUUCGCUCAACUACUAGCUGCCCUUGUUAAAAUGAAAGAGUACUCUGUAGCUGUCUCCCUUUUUAGGAAGAUGCGUGUAGAAAGC
rnacentral:lncRNA from 1 species